rnacentral:rRNA from 1 species
AGUGAACGCUGGCGGUAGGCCUAACACAUGCAAGUCGAACGGCAGCACAGUAAGAGCUCGCUCUUACGGGUGGCGAGUGGCGGACGGGUGAGGAAUACAUCGGAAUCUACUUUUUCGGGGGGGAUAACGGAGGGAAACUUAUGCUAAUACCGCAUAUGAUCUACGGGUGAAAGCAGGGGAUCUUCGGACCUUUCGCGAUUGAAUGAGCCGAUGUCGGAUUAGCUAGUUGGCGGGGUAAAGGCCCACCAAGGCGACGAUCCGUAGCUGGUCUGAGAGGAUGAUCGGCCACACUGGAACUGAGACACGGUCCAGACUCCUACGGGAGGCAGCAGUGGGGAAUAUUGCACAAUGGGCGCAAGCCUGAUCCAGCCAUGCCGCGUGAGUGAAGAAGGCCUUCGGGUUGUAAAGCCCUUUUGUUAGGGAAGAAAAGCAGCAGAUUAAAACCCCGCUGUUCUGACGGUACCCAAAGAAUAAGCACCGGCUAACUUCGUG